rnacentral:rRNA from 1 species
GAUGAACGCUGGCGGCGUGCUUAACACAUGCAAGUCGAACGAGAAGUGGAGACGGACACCUUCGGGCGGAAGACUUUAUUUCGAGUGGCGGCCGGGUGAGUAACGCGUGGGUAACCUGCCUCAUACAGGGGGAUAACAGUUUGAAACGACUGUUAAUACCGCAUAAGACCACAGCACCGCAUGGUGCGGGGGUAAAAACUCCGGUGGUAUGAGAUGGACCCGCGUUCGAUUAGCCAGUUGGCGUGGUAACGGCACACCAAAGCGACGAUCGAUAGCCGAUCUGAGAGGAUGACCGGCCACACUUGGACGGAGACGCGGCCCAAACUCCUACGGGAGGCAGCAGUGGGGAACAGUGCACAAUGGGGGAAACGCUGAUGCAGCGAGGCCGCGUGAGUGAAGAAGUAUUGCGGUAUGUAAAGUGCUAUCAGCAGGGAAGAUAAUGACGGUACCUGAGUAAGAAGCCCCGGCUAACUACGUG